CAUGGGGGGAGCAAGCGUUGUUCGGAAUCACUGGGCGUAAAGGGCGUGUAGGCGGUCAAGUAAGUGGUAUGUGAAACGCCUCGGCUUACCCGAGGACCUGCAUCCCAAACUGCUUGGCUUGAGUAUGGGAGAGGAUGAGGGAAUUCCUGGUGUAGCGGUGAAAUGCGUAGAUAUCUGGAGGAACACCGGUGGCGAAGGCGGCAUCCUGGACCGGCAUUGACGCUGAGGCGCGAAAGCCAGGGGAGCAAACGGG
rnacentral:rRNA from 1 species